GUUUUUAUAGUGUAACAAACAUAUUGUUUUUUCAAAACAAAGAUAUUUAAAUUAAAAAUA
rnacentral:tRNA from 1 species